rnacentral:rRNA from 1 species
GACGAACGCUGGCGGCGUGCCUAAUACAUGCAAGUAGCACGCUGAAGAGAGGAGCUUACUCUUCUUGGAUGAGUUGCGAACGGGUGAGUAACGCGUAGGUAACCUGCCUUGUAGCGGGGGAUAACUAUUGGAAACGAUAGCUAAUACCGCAUAACAAUGGAUGACACAUGUCAUUUAUUUGAAAGGGGCAAUUGCUCCACUACAAGAUGGACCUGCGUUGUAUUAGCUAGUAGGUGAGGUAAUGGCUCACCUAGGCGACGAUACAUAGCCGACCUGAGAGGGUGAUCGGCCACACUGGGACUGAGACACGGCCCAGACUCCUACGGGAGGCAGCAGUAGGGAAUCUUCGGCAAUGGGGGCAACCCUGACCGAGCAACGCCGCGUGAGUGAAGAAGGUUUUCGGAUCGUAAAGCUCUGUUGUAAGUCAAGAACGGGUGUGAGAGUGGAAAGUUCACACUGUGACGGUAGCUUACCAGAAAGGGACGGCUAACUACGUG